GUAAUAUACACACAUUUUGGUUUUGGACAAAGAAGCCUUUUCCACUUAUCCCACCACCUAUCAAUCUAGUUCUAUACACAUUUUUUUAUAAUAUUCACCUUCACAUAUUAUAUAUAAGUGUCUUCCCCCAACAUCUAUUCCCUCACCCUUUCUCUAUUAGCACUUUGAAACAAGCAAAUUUGAAACACAGAAAUGGGUAAAGCACUAGGCAUCUUUCUAUGUCUCUUGAUAGUAAUCAUUGAUAUCACAGCUGGAAUUCUUGGCAUCGAAGCUGAAAUGGCACAAAACAAGGUUAAGCACUUGAGAUUGUGGAUUUUUGAGUGUAGAGAGCCAAGCCAUAAGGCUUUUAUGCUUGGGUUAGGUGCAUCAGUGCUAUUGGCUCUAGCCCAUGUCAUAGUGAAUUUGAUAGGAGGGUGCAAUUGCCUUUGUUCUCAACAAAACAUUCAGAAAGCUUCUUCAAACAGACAACUUUCAAUGGCUUGCCUCAUUUUAACAUGGAUCAUAUUAGGUGUUGGAUUAACUAUGUUGGUGAUAGGGACACAUUCAAAUGACAAGUCAAGGGGUUCUUGUGGAUUCACACACCAUCACUUCUUCUCAAUUGGUGGAAUUAUGUGUUUUGUUCAUGCUCUAUUCUCUCUUUCCUACUACAUUUCUUCCACCACCUUUAUUAAUUAAUUACUAAGAAUGAGAGUGUUACCAAUUCAUAACAUAUAUCCUUGUUAUUUUGUAUCCUAAAUCAUUAUUUUAUGUAAGGAGAGG
rnacentral:lncRNA from 1 species